UACGAAGGGGGCUAGCGUUGCUCGGAAUCACUGGGCGUAAAGCGCACGUAGGCGGGUCCUUAAGUCGGGGGUGAAAUCCCGGAGCUCAACUCCGGAACUGCCUUCGAUACUGGGGACCUCGAGUCCGGGAGAGGUGAGUGGAACUGCGAGUGUAGAGGUGAAAUUCGUAGAUAUUCGGAAGAACACCAGUGGCGAAGGCGGCUCACUGGACCGGUAUUGACGCUGAGGUGCGAAAGCGUGGGGAGCAAACAGG
rnacentral:rRNA from 1 species